rnacentral:lncRNA from 1 species
UUAAAAAUAGACAUUUAAUAUUUUAUUCAGGGAAUUUUUUUUCAUUAGUUUUUCAUCAAAUUCUGUUAACCGAAAAUUAACGGAAGGAAUAACAUAAAUAAUUAGAGUUUAGGAGCUCCACAACAGAUUGUAUACAACAAAAGGUAUUACAUGUUCAUUUUAUGAGUUUAGGGAUAAAGUAAAAUUCCACCAAAAGUUCAGGGAUAACAGAACAAUCUAGACUUUUUUAUACUAAAAUAAAUUAUCAA